rnacentral:tRNA from 1 species
ACCCGUGUAGCUCAGUGAAUAGAGCAUCGGCCUGCGGACUGAAGGAUCCUGGGUUCGAUUCCUGUCAAGGGUA